GGAAUUGAAAUCGAUUGAUGAUAGACGUCUAGAUAAAAGCGUUCGAUGGACAGACAUUCGCCGCUUGUCAAAAUUACCCGCCUCAUUUUGAAACCAGUUAGCGUCAGAGGAAUAGCGACGUAGACAAAGGUGUAGCAUUUUCCGUUCCUGUCAUUUACACUUUUCCUUCAGUUGCUAUGUGCACAAUAGGGAAUUUUGCUAUUGCAGAAAAUGUGAUCGAUUAGCCAUCUCGAGAUGGUAGAUGUCGCGUACGUGAAAAGAUACGACAGCUUUCUAAACCGAAAUUGCCCCAGUUGUAUUGCACGCGAACAAAGCCUGCAGAUUUGACAAUGGGACUGAUUACAUUGGAUGCGCUAUAGCCUACCAAAUCCAUGCAACCUUCACGUAUGGAACAUGGACGACAACCUCAACUUGGGCUUAAACCGACAUAGUGUGGCUCCAGAGCCCAAAAUACAUCCGGAAUUAGCACCGAGUACAAGGUAUUGUCGUUGAAAGGUUUCAUACUGUAUUUUUAACCGAAUGCGGAACAGGUGCGGCCAUUGUCAUGAUGGCCGCCUGGUGAUGGGUGCUCAAGCGCCGAGACUGACGCCACAACAAAUUUCUAUGGCGCCGUUAUUGUACAGGUACGGGUACGGGUCUGUUUCUAUGGGAACGUAAAGAUCUGAUACACUCACAAGUCGUGUUCAACAUGAAGAUAAUGGCAGCUGACUCUAUCGUCAAGUGGUUAUAUCUUGUUUCAAAGCAGUCUCGUGGAACUAAAUGAGGAUCUCGGAGACGUGGAGCUUACUUGCACAAAUUGAGUUGCUCCAAGCGAUCGUGGGCCUGAAGAAAGGAAAGGAGCUAGUUCAAAGAAGUUCAUUGUUCACUCGAUUCUCUUACGGGCAAGGAGAAAAACUUCCAGGACGACAAGCAAGACACAAAACAGACUCUUGCGGAAGUAUUAGGUACACUAUUGGCAAGUAAAUCAGAUAACUGUUUCCCCGUUACAUUGUAUAUAUAUAAUGUGUGUCAUUCACCAGUGGGCUAUUGCCAUAUUUGGAGGAAAUUACACUGCGAAGGCGUGCCAAAUCCAGCCGUCAUCAACUAUUCUACACCGCUAAAUAUGACAGUUUUGAAAAAGUACGCCUAAACCAUAAUGUGUUAAGUCCGCAUUCAUUUGUUCAAAGGUGUACGCCAUUGUACUGUACUUUCAAUAGUUUAGAAAGCAAAUCAAGCUAAAUAGAAUAAUUACAGUUUCUUUAAAAAUUAUUAUAUAAAAAUAUUCUUUUAUAUACUUAUUAAUGAUGAUGAUGAUGACAGCAAUGAUUGUGCGAUCUUCAUAAUGUUGAACUAAAUUAAUAUAGAAUAAAAGGAUAUCCCUAACGAGACGAAAAUCCUGGAUGCUGUGUUAUAUUAGACUUGAGUAGAGAGCUUUGAUGUUGUUGGAAAUCAAUAGAAAAUGCUCGCCUGGGUGAACUAGGACGCGUCAUUCGUUUGCUGUACCAAGGAAAGCAACCACACCCAAAAUAAAGCUAUGACAUUUUUGAUCUCGCCAAAAGCUUAAAAAUCAAGGCGGAGAAAUCAACAAUAAAAAAAUUUCUGAUGUUAGUUGCA
rnacentral:pre_miRNA from 11 species